UCCUGGGGAAAACAUACAUUGAUCAGUCUGAGAACUCAAUUGUCACGCCCAAAGAGUUCAGGCAAAUGAUGGACGAGGUGUUUUUGCUGACUGGUGUGUUUAACAUUGGUGAUUUCAUACCUUGGAUCGAUUUCUUGGAUUUGCAGGGGUAUAUCAAGAGGAUGAAAAUCUUGAGCAAGAAAUUUGAUAGGUUUCUGGAGCAUGUUCUUGAUGAGCAUAAUGCCCGGAGGAAGGACGAAACUGAUUGUGUCAGCAAGGACAUGGCGGACGUCCUUCUGGACCUUGCAGAUGAUCCCACUUUGGAGGUGAAGCUAGAGAGGCGUGGAGUCAAGGCAUUGACUCUGGUAUAUGUUACUUACAAACUGCAUAACGCAUGCUGUCAACUUUUAAACGACUGAAAACUUGAGAGAAAAUAGUCAGUGAUCUUUUGAACUUGAAUACUCAAAAUUUUCUUUGCUACUGAAAACUUGAGAGAAAGUAGUCUGGAUCUUUGUAGUUUGAUGAAAAUUUUUCAGUAGAGGCAGAAUUAACAAGAAAAUUCUUUUUAAUCCUUCUAAAAGAAAUUGCUUUUGAUAAAGGUACUCAAGUAAGUAAGUUGAUUGUUGGCCAAGUACAGUCAAUUUGCAACUUAAGAACGUUUGUGGGCCAAGUCAAUUUGCAACACAAGAAGUUGAUUAGAACUUGAGUUUUGCUGAUAAGUACAUUGGUUCUAUUCUUUGCCAAAUUAAUAUAAUAUCCAUGGUAGUAAGAUUUAUUUCACGUUCCGGUGGGGAGCACAAAUAAUAAUUCUUAAGAAAUUCCAAGCCUAUUAUAGGAAAUUUAUUUUGUGCCCUGUUUCAUUCAGAUAUCACAUUCGGAACAUUGAAACAUAAAUAAGUUUAAGAACUUCAAUAAUUGGACUAAGUUUCUUGCUGCACUUUGCGUAAUGAUUGAACUCUAGGACCUGCUUGCUGGUGGAACCGAGACCUCAGCGACUACAGUAGAAUGGGCCAUUUCGGAGCUACUGAAAAACCCAGAAAUAUUCAACAAGGCAGCCGAAGAACUCGACCGUGUUAUCGGUCAGAAUCGAUGGGUGAAAGAGAAGGACAUGCCAAAUCUUCCUUACAUAGAGGCUAUUGUUAAAGAAACAAUGCGUAUGCAUCCCGUGGUCCCAUUGCUAGUGCCAAGAUGUGCUCGCGAAGAUUGCAAAGUUGCAGGGUACGAUAUUCGAAAGGGAACUCGAGUCAUCGUCAACGUUUGGUCAAUUGUGAAGGACCCUGAAUUGUGGGAGAAGCCAGAGGUAUUUUGCCCCGACAGAUUCAUGGGAAAGGACAUUGACUUCAAAGGGCAAGACUGUAAGUUCUUGCCAUUUGGUGCUGGAAGAAGAAUGUGCCCAGGGUACAGUUUAGGCCUCAAGGUUAUCCAAUCUAGUUUGGCCAAUCUUUUACAUGGAUACAGAUGGAAGUUGCCAAAUGACAUGAAGCCUGAGGACCUUGACAUGGAAGAAAUAUUUGGGCUUACUACACCAAGAAAGAUCCCACUUGUUGCCAUUGUUGAGCCUCGGCUUCCUCGUAAUCUUUAUUCACUAUGAUUCACUACGUGUAUGUUUGAUCUCCCAGUAUCAUCAUUAUCAACUUGUGUUCAAAUAAAUCAGCUCUGCAAGUUUAGAAUUUGUAGCUGCGCUUAUAUGUGUUUGCCAAUUGCCACAACGCUACAAACCCUUGUAGUUGGUGCAUGGCAUAUGCGUAACCACUGAGAUUGUUAUGCUUAUUGAAGUCCAAAUUUGUUCGCAAUUAUGUGAAACUGUGAAUACGCACACCCCUGAUGUUUCAAAUACAUUCUAUAACAUUCUGAUGCUAAUUUAAAUCUGCAAUAGUAGGUUCACAGUCAAAGCAAUGUGCUCUCUGCCAUCUUUCCUCUUAGCAUCUUCCAUCAAUUCCUGUGCACCUCUAAGCCAUGCCACUGGAUUGGUGCUACUUUCCGUACUUGUUGGGAGGAAGAGAGAAAGAGAAAAAAAAAAAAAAAAAGAGCGGAGGGUGAGGUGGCUGCGGCAGUGAUGGCAUGGGAAGGGAGGGAAGAGGAAGAGCAGCAGUGGUGUGGUGCGGAGAGAAAGAGAAGAAGAGAGGAGAGAAAAGAAAAAAGAAAAAAAAAGGAAAAAAAAAAGCAAGAUUUGGAAUUUUUUCAAACCUUCAAAUGCACAAAAGUUUUCUUACUAGUUUUAUAGUAAAGCAUAGUAAAAUGUUAAACUAACGCCUAGAAAAUAGCAAUCAUUUUGGAAACAAACCCUGAGAUUUAUUAUAAUAUCACUUAGCUUCUCUGAAGUUUUUAAAAUCUUACUUUCUUCCCCUACCAACUUGGGAAGAUCAAGUGUUCCUAUCAAAGGUCACAAAUUUACAACAAUUACUGUUGCACUCUUUAUGACUAUUUAAUUGAAAAGACCAAAAACUAUAGAUGAAAAAGAUAACCAAAUUGCUAUCCAAUAUUGGUGGAUAUUUCUUUGUAUCAACGUGGUGGUGGAAUAGUAAAAGACAUGGGUAAACUAAAUUCUAGUUAAAGACAUGGGUAAUUUUUGCAGAAUAGUUAUGAGGAAAUCAAGAAAUUCUUUUAGAAAAUAUGUUCUAAUAUAGGAUAUAAUAUAAGUUAUACUAAAAAUUAAAAUAACCUCUUUAUACAUGUGGUUUGUAAUAUAAAUCCUACUUAUAGAAAAAAUUAUAUAAAUAAGUCAGAAUUUAAAAAAUUAAUUAGAAAUGUUCUAAUGACCAAAUAUAUCUCUAGGAAUAUUCUUUUUUUUGUUAGAACAUCAUUUUUUAUACAAGGUAAUAGUUAUUGUACAUCUACAAGAUUAUUCGUUAUUGCAUUUAUAGUUGCUCAUAUUUUCAACUUUUUACUUUUCAACUUUAUUUUAUUUUUUAUUGUUGUUGUUCGCUUAAUAAGUAGGAUAGCAUAAGAGUAAUAUUAGAACAAAAAUUUUAUCUUUCUUGCAUUUCCUUCAAAGGGGUUAAAAUGUAUGAAGAAUAUGAAAACAAGAGAGGUAUGUGAGAUUUUAAAAAUUGAAAGAGUUCUAAGUGAUAUUAUGAGAAAUGUCAUGCGAGGUUUCUGAAAUUAUCCCCAAAAAAAUCAUCCAAAUGAACCUUCUUGUUGUUGCAAAAUCUUUGCUUCGGAAUCCUAGUGCCAUAUUUCCAUCUUCUUUAACUCUCCGUCUCUCCACCAAAAAAAAACAAAAAAGAAGCAAUUUUGGUAGCGAGCUACUUUGAAUAAGAUCGUGAAAUAAUUGCAUGUAGAAAUUUGACAAGAAGUGAAAGCAAUCAAAUUUGCAAUAUGUCAACAUAUAUUUUUAUAUGAAAACGUAUUCUAGUAUUCCAUGAGCCAUUUUGUCUUGCCUUUCGUUCUGCUAGGAAAUGGCCAAAUCCUCCUAAUAUUGUUACUUCCCAAUAAUUGGGUAAGCAGAUAAAAUAUGGCUUUGUCGGCCAUGUAGCACGACGGGGAGGUCCAGAAUAUUUUUUUGAAAAAAAAUGGCAGAGGGUCGUCGCGCCCUGGCUUUUUUUACCACACUGUCGCGCCAACGUGAUGCAACGAACCUGGCAGCUAUGCGACGAGCCUUUUUUUUUUUCAAAUGUUUUGUAAAAAAUGUGUAGGUUCCGUUAAGUUUUUUUUUUUUUUUUGGAUAAGGCGGUUUUGGUUUCUUAAGUUUUAGCAUGUUUAGGAUUUACAAUUUAUUAUUUAGGGUUUAGGAUUUGUUAAGUUUGUUGAUAAAAGGGUUUGGAUAUGGCCAUUGUAGUUAAUAAAGGAUUUAUUAAAUUUGUUAAUAUAGUCGAUAACUUACAUAAAAAUUAAAUGAAACAUAAUUGUAUUGAAGAAAAAAAUGAGUACAUGAAUCGCAGUUUUUGUAUUUUAGAAUUUAUAUAAAAUGCAAUAGUGUAAAAAAAUUAAUAAUAUAUUGAAAAAUUAAUAGUUGUUUAUAGAAUGCACACAUAAUGAAAGUACUUUUUUAGGUCGUUAUUUGGUAUACGAUGGUACUUGAUACUUAUAUUAAAUGAUUAAACCAGUUAAAGUGGUCAUAAAUUGACUUGUACUUCUACAUUUAAUAAAUUAAUGGAUCCUUUUAUCCAAUUAUAGAAUUUCAUCAAAUAAUUUGUACUUUUGUAUUUUGAAAAUAUGUAACGUUAUUAAACUUUAAAAUAAUUAAACAGGAAAAGUAGGACAGUUAAUUAAAUGUCAAGAUAGUAUGCAGUAUAUUGAAUGGAUGGGAUUUAAAUCUAAGUAGAAGACCGGACAAUAUCAACACUUCGGGGUUUCUUGUCUUUAUCCUUGUCUUCGGCCUUCUAACAAGGUGUGGUUGGGGGAUACGUUUGUUUGGAUAGAGGAUUAUUUAUCAAAAUUUAUUUACUUACAUCAUUAUUAUAAUUUUUAACACAUCUUUUUAUCUUUUUAAUUAUUUUUUUAUCUCAUGUACAUCAUAUCACAAAAAAUACUAUAAUAAAAAUAUCUCAAGUCGUAGUCUCCAAGAUCCAGCUAACCGGCAGAAACAGUAUUGAAGAUUGUCUAGCUACUUGACUUCAAUAUUGAAGAUUGUCCGGCACAUAAAAUCCCAAGUCGUAGUCUCCAAGAUCCAGCUAACCGGUAGAAACAGUAUAUGAAGUGACGACGAGGUUCUUGAUAAAUCCAUUUAUGACAGCACCAUGUGCAACUCAUGAUAAAUCCAUAGGCUGUGAAUCUCCAUUCGGUCAUAAUUAAAUAUGAUAUAGCUUAAAAUAGGCAGACGGAUGCAUAAUACAUGCGUUGAUUAAGUGAUGAUUCAGAACCUUUUCGGGUUCGGGCCUUUUCUCUUUCCAUUAUGUAGUGGGCUAUCUUAUCGACAAAAAAAAAAAAAAAAAAUCUCCAUUCGGCCAAAAAUCAUAAACUCAUGGGCCAAAAAAUUGAUAAACAAGUUGAGUACUACGCUUUACAUCUUUCUCUGUAAUCAUUUUCACGAGUUUGUCAUGUAGCGUGAUAUUAUUGCGAAAGAAAGUUUUCUCUAUUAUGACAGGACCAUGUGCAACUCCUGUCAGACUCAGGAGCUUUGACCUUUACGACUGGAUGUGUCGGCCGAAGGAAAUUACAUGGAAACCUUUAUGGUGGAACCUGCCUAUGGUAGAAAGGCCGGCAGAGAGACACGUGUUGACGUUAUAUACAAUUCAAACGGAGACGUUAAAUUGUUACGCAGCGUGUGAAGAGAAAAUAUACGAGAAUCGUCUGCAGAUGCAACCAAAAAGCACACUGACUUCCGUACGAGUUAGACCAGAAAGUGUUAUUGCAUGUUAAAAUAAGAGGCAUUUAUGUAUUUGCAAAUGUACCCAUUACCAAUGGAAAAAUGUUGCAAAUGCCUUGGACAAAAAAUGUGAAUAAAGAAGGUACCGAAAUUUUAAGAAAUAAUAAAUGAUUAUCGCAUACGCGUGGGGGAUAAUAAUUUGGAAGAAGAAAAAGCGGAGGUAAAUGAAAGGAUUCAAGCCUUCAUUAUAUUUAGGGCAAAUUAUCCAAUUGGCCCUUUAACUCUUUGUCUAGGUAAAAUUAAGCCCCUCGUCUAUUUUUUGCUGACUUUAAGCCCUUGAACUUGUAAAAUGGGAAAUUCGUGGCCCUUUUAGCCAGUUUCUCCGGUUUUGCAACCGGAGGACCAAUUCACACGAACGCCAGUGUGCUUCUUUCAAGGGCAAUUUUGUCCUCAUAUUCUAAGCAAAAAGGGCACACAUAGUAGACGUUCUAACAAAAAAGGACAAAAAAAAAAAACAAAAUGCUGCUAAUCCCUCCCUUACUCAUGGAGCCUGUAGCAGGCAUAUGACCCAUGACAAUAAAGUAAACAAAUAAUUCAAAAAAAAAAAGAAGAAACAAUACGGAUUAAAACAAUUAAAUUAAAGAAACUGAACAUUACAUCCAAUGGGCAAAAGGGCUUUGAAAAAAGAUGAACUCAGAGACAAAGAUCGUAUUUUUACCAUACUGAUGGCUAAAAGCGUGCAAGGAAAAUGGAGUUACCGGAAUCGAAGUCAUCGAGUUUGUGAAGCUUGACGGAAUCAGAAGUAGACUGCAAAAUCAGGGUUCGAACACUCUGGCGAUUCCAUUCUUCGUGUGGAUAUAUAUUGAAUUUCUUGAGGUGAAAAAGCAGUUGUUGAGAAGAUGAAAUGGGCUUCGAUUUUUGCUUCAGCCAUUGCUGGCCUGCUGAUUUUGCUACAGCAGGUAAAAAAACCAUGGCUGGCUUUUUCCCUAUCUUUCUUUUCUGUUCCUUUUAAGGAUUUGUGGAGCCGAUCAUUUGCUUCAACUGCACCCUUUUUCUUUUUUCUUUUCUUUUCUUUUCUUUAUUUUCAUGUCAUGCCAAGUCACUAAUUUGAUCGCGACAACAGGCAACGAAGUUUGUUUGACAAAAGAGGAUGAGGUUUUUUUUUUUUUUUCCAAUGAAAAACUUGGGAUUUCAGCUUAAAACUUAACAAAUCAAAGCGCUUGUUAAUUGAAUUAUGCUUGCCUCACUCCUCUCUGGGUUUGUCGUCAUAAUCGUCGGAGACAUCGGAGACGACGUCGGAGAUAUGAUUCUUGGAAGCGGCCGAGACACCGGUCCAGUGGACUUUGCGGGUGUGGGUGACGGGGUGGCAGGGUUUUAAGAGGAUUUUUGAGAAGGAAGAGCAGAAGGGCUUGUCAUGAGGAGGGGUUGUGAGCGGAGAGAGCUUCUGGGAGGCCGCGACGGCCGCGGCUGCUGCGGUGGCGACAAAGACGGCCAUGGGAUUGCGUGGGGGUUGCGCAAGGAAGAGUAAGGCAGGUAAGGGAAAUCAAAUAGAAAGGUGGACUAUGUGUGCCCUUUUUGCUUAGAAUAUGAGGACAAAAAUGCCCUUGAAAGAAGUACACUGGCGUUCGUGUGAAUUGGUCCUCCAGUUGCAAAACCGGAGAAACUGGCUGAAAGGGUCACGGGUUCCCCAUUUUACAAGUUCGAGGGCUUAAAGUCAGCAAAAAAUAGAUGAAGGGCUUAAUUUUACCUAGACAAAGAGUUAAAGGGCCAAUUGAAUAAUUUGCCCUUAUAUUUAUAUACAUAUAUAAAUUUAGUACCCAAGUGUUCAGCUUAAGCAUCCAGGAAAAUGGUCCCAUAACUAUCGAUACGGUAAACAACACAGUUUUGGAUAUGAUAUAAUAGGUUCUAAAAAUUUUAGCGACCAUUUGAUUACCCGUUAGACCUAUCCACUUGAAUAGGAUUAUGGGUAAAAAUAAGGGAGUAAAUUUGUCAUUCAAAAUAGUAAGUUAGCGUAAUAAAUUAGUAACUUUUGCAGUCGAAAAGGUAAAUUGUAAGUAAUAUGAAACAUACUUUUUAAAGAGAUAAAUUACAAUAGUAUAUCCCAAAUAUACUUUUGAGGGAGUAAGUUUAUUUGAAGUAAAAAUAUGUUUUUAUAUAGAAAUAAUGAGUUUUAGUUAUAACAUAGUAAAUUUGAUUAAUGACAAAAAACAUGCUAAUUUAUGGCCAAAAUAUUGUAUUAUGCUUAAAAAACUUAUACGAAGCCUAUAUUUUAGAGUUAUUUGAAAUAACACAAAAAUGUAUUAUUACUGAUUAAAACUGAGUACGUUACUUAGUCAGUACAGUUAUUAUAGUUGUAUACAUACUUGAUGGUAUGUGUAUAAAUAAGCAUUUUUGAGAUUUAUGGGAAAAUUGAUUUUUUCUUUUGCAGUUUAAAAAAAAGGUAAGCGAAAAUCUUUUUUCUCAGAGCACAAAAAUCCACAAGUCAAAGUUCUUGGUCUAAAGGGGAAAGAAACAUUCUGAAUAUCAUUGUUUACAGUACUAAAUAAAUUAGAUGUAAAAUGCUCGUUAAAAGCAGGUACGUUGACAUAUAAUAAAGGAAAGACAUAAAGAGCAGGCCAUUUACGAGAAAAGUUGUCAUUCAUAAAAAUAGCAACGCUUUACGGUUUUCUUAUCAAUCUUGCAACGUAUGAGCAAAAUGGCAAUAAUUAAAAUAGUAUUUUAUUCGAAUUAUACAUAUUUCAUUAAUUUUUUUCCAUUUAAAAAAAAUGAAUGAGAAUCUUUUAUGAGAAAGCACAUAAGUCAAAGGAAUGGUGUAAAAGGGAAAAGAAUAGCAUAUACGUACAGUACCUAUAGUUUAUGUUCGAAGGACUAUAGUGCUAUUUUUGAAAAAUAUCCUGAAAAAUAUGUAAUCGAAACCGAACCGAUUCUUCACUAUUUAAAAUGUCAAAUCUGUGAUUGUGUUGUAACUGUUAUUCAUUGUUAUCGUAAAGUAUCAUUUUUCCAUAAAAUUUCACCUCUUUAACACCAAUUUUCCCAUACACCAAUUUAUUUAUCAGAUAAAAUACAUGAAAAUUCGGUUUUGAAUAAAACAGUAGCUGUUUAUGGCUUUCCUCCAUUAUAAGAACAUAGUACCCAUUUUUGCAUAAACAAAUUUAUUUAUCGGAUGAAAUAAAAAUAAAUCCAUUGUUCAAUAAAACACUAACUCUUUAUGGCUUUCCUCCAUUAUAAAUCACUAGUUCUUUUAAUUGGAAGGAAAUCACAUGUCAAAUUUCAUUUGAUUUGUGGAUGGAAGGCUAUGGAAGCUGUAGGCCCCGAAGCAAAAUUAAUUGGUCCACAAAAAUUGCCAAAUUAGUUUUCUUUUUCCAAAUUUCAGUUAUGUGAGUAAAUGAAAGCUUUUACAACCAUUAGUUCUUUUAAAAUAUUUUCAAGCGUAACUGCAUGCACACAUUCUAUAUUCAUUUGUCUCUUUUUCAGUUUUUAUACUCCAUCUAGGAUGUCUAAUCAUUAUUUCGUGAAAAAGGAAAAAAAACUAUGUAUAUUUUUUCUUUAUAAUUAGUCAAUUACAAAUUGGUAAAGUUCUAGCCAAUUUCAUCCAUUAUCUAACUUGCAAGAAAGGAAUAGAUAUCUCCUAGAUACAAAGUUCAAAAGGAAUUUCUAGUCUUUUAUAAUCACGAUCACAUGAUGUUUCGGACUUUCGGUGGAUAUCUAUUUGUCCAUUUUCCGUUAAAGAAACUUUACUUAUUACAAUCUUUUCUUUACACUCCUCUAAAAUAGUAUGAAGUAUUACCAUAAUUCCUAACAUAUCAUUAUUAAAACGAGGGUUAAGUAUUAUUGGAAAGUAAUCAUUAAAUAGUAUAUGAUUUAAUUAUUCUUAAUAACUUUCAAAGUAUGUCUUACAUUCAUUAAAUUUAUUGUUUUAGUUCAUUUAUAUCCAUGUUUUUUGGAAAAUUAAAGUUCGAAGAUAAAAAGAAGUUAAUGCAAAUUAAUGCACGGCUGAAUAACUGGUGGUCUAAUUCUAUUGCUUGCUUAUUAACAAGAAUGACCACGCCAACACUACUACAAUAAUACACUCAUACUUUUGCGUUUCUUAAUUACUUGCAUUACUUAUUCUUUCUUCCCAACAAUUCUACAGCCCAUAAUCAAUUUUAAUUCAAUAAUCUUCAUACAACUCUGAACAUAUAACUAUAUUUAAUAUAAAUUCUUAAGUUCAUAAACAAUCAUUAGUAUCAAAAUCAUAAAGUUGUAUCGCACAAUAGGAUGCUCUUCGCAUCAUUAUCAGAAGUAAUUUCAAUUUCGUCGCAUUUGGCUAUAGACGUCAUUUUCUGUGUGACUUCCUUCUUCUGACACGUAUCCACUUUGUAUGGUUGGAACUUCCCGCUAUAGACCGAUCUGGUAGGUCGUGGCCAAUAAUGGGAUAGCAUAGUUUUUUUGCCCCAUCACUUAAGCACGGCAAGAAUUUUUUUUUUUAAAAAUUUUAAAUAGCUGCAACAAGUUAUUAACAAAAGAUAAUAUGCUAGCGCUAUUCCCGUUGCCUCUAGAGGAUUUUUCAGCCAACAAACUCCUUCAACUCCCUUCCUCAAGUUCUUUCUAGGGUUCUUUCCAUUUGUUUCUGUAAUACAUUUUUUUGACAAAUUUUCAAUCCUAUUAUUUUCUCAGUAGAAGUAUCUUUCUUUCUUAGUGAGAGUUUUUGCUUUUUUUUUUAUAUAGUUUUUAUCAGAUUUAAGUUUAUUCAAGUCUAAACUUUCUCGCAGGGCUUCAAAAUCUGUCCGGGGAAGGCUUACAAAUCAUUUGCAACUACAGAGAUUUAUAUGCAUUUAAUUGUAAGAAAAUUUGGAGCUUUCUAGUAUUUUUUUUUUUCUUAUUGGUUUCUCUGAUUUGAAGGAAGUCACUUCUUUUUGCAUUUCCAUUGCGUCUUUUUCAUAUAUUUGUUGCUAUUUGUACAACUUUUCUGUGAUUAAAUAAAAUUCCCUUCCUCGUUAAAAUAAAUGAAAGAAAAUAUGAAGGAGAAAUUAAAUUGAUCUAAUUGACAAUAUGUCUUUAUCACUAGAUGCCUUCUCAGAUAUUCUCAAAAACUUCCAUACUCUAACUAUCAUUAUUUUACCACAAUAGUACUUCUUUAACAAUUACUAGCAUUUCUAUGUUGUCAUUUGAACUGCUUCCUUUCCAUCUUUGGUACACUUAAAUUUGCAAUUAUCUUAUGAAAUUCUUAAAUUCAGUAACUUUCAGCUACAUGAUAUGGUGAGAGAUAUUUGUUUGACAUGAUAUAAACCUAAUAAGAAAAGAAUUCAAUUUGAAAACACACGUAAGACAAUAUAUAUAGGUCCAUGUACAUAAACCAAAGAACAAAAUUAUAUCAAUUCAGUAAGCACAUUUAAUAAUAUUCCCUGGAGCCUUAAAGCAUAAGUUAAACAUUUUAUCUGGAAAUGUCUCCUAAGAAUCUUAUACGUGAUGAAGUAAAUAGGCAGAGAACUGGGAAACGGAAAGACUUGAGCAUAUGCUUUUUUUUUUGGUGAAAUUGCAUAACAAAUAUUAGGGGUGGGCACGGGUCGGGGUACCCGCCCCUAAUACGUUUUGGCUGACCCGACCCUAAAAUAUCGGAUCAGCCAUUUUGCGACCCUAACCCGCUCCUAAUAUUUUCGGGUACCCGCUAUUCGGGUACCCGAAAAAAAGGGGCGGGUCAUAGGGUACCCGCCCCUAAAAAAAAAUUCCAAUAAAAAAUAUUUUUCAUUUAAUAUCAACAUAUUUUUCAAUAAAAAAAAUGUUUUCUGAUUAACAUUGGUAGAGAUAUUAUAAUCAAAAUCCAUACGUCAUCAUUCUCACACAUUUCAUCCAAUAAUCAAACCGAUCUCAUAAAUUUAGUACAUAUUAGAAUUAUAAUAUCUAAUAGACAAAAUGAAAUUUCAUGAUAAUUUUGAGUACAUCACCAUUCUCACGCAUUUCAUCCUUUUAUAACAUAACAAAUACAAGGAUAAUAAGUAUUUGGCAAAUUUUUCAACUUUCUUAAGGAUGUUAUGGUACAAAACUGCAUCCAAAAUGAGUCGAUUGUGGAAUCAAAUCCGGAAAAGAAUUGAACAGAGCUAAUAAUUUUUGAAGUAUAAUCAAAAUAAUCAUGAAAAAUUUUCACCAACUUUCUUACAUCUUUGGAAUAGACCUUAUUGCAUUAAAGGUGAUGAAAAAGAAAAAUAAAUUUCUUGCACUAAAAUAAAGGAGACAAAGUUAAGAGACACAAUUGCAAUAAAACAAAUAAAUAAAUGAAAGACACAAAUGUUUUAAUUAUCUAGCUAAUAGAAAAUUGGAGCUCCAAACACAAAUUUUUGAUUGAAUUGAUGAAAAAUUUGCAAGAAAGAUCGAUGGAAGUAGAAUAAAAAUGAAAAAGGAUGAAAAGGAUGAACAAUUUUUAUGAUAGAGUUUUGUUUUGUUCAUUUUAGUUCAGGUUUCACCAAGAAUAUUCGUUCUUUUAAGACAAGAUGAGGAGAGGCGGAUCAUAUGAGAUUAGAAUAUGAAGUUGUGAACCACUUUACUUACACUUAGGAUUAAAAAUUAUAAAAAUAUGAUGAACCCUUAUUUUUUUAAUAUUUAUAUAAUAUACCCUGCGGGUUGGGUACCCGCGGGUUUUUAUUUUAUUGAUCCGUAUCCGUAUCCGUUUUUACGGGUACCCGAUCCGCAUCUGCCCCGCUAAGAAAAAUCGGAUCGGAUAUCCUAUUUUUCGGAUCGGAUCGGAUCGGGUUCAUCGGGUUUCGGAUCGGAUCGGAUUUUUUGCCGACCCCUAACAAAUAUGGUAAGUAGCACCAAUCCAGUGGGAUGGCCUAGGAAAUAGAAGCAACCUCUGCCAUUGAUGAGGGGAGUUGAUGGAAGAAAACGCAUUGCUUUGAACUGUAAACCUGUGCAGAUUUGCAAAGAAAGGAGGUUGUUCAAGUGCCAAUUCAGUGGCCAUGACACCACCUGGACGGUCGGACCAUUCAGUACUGACAGAGCCAUGUUAAGACAAGGGUGGAGCCAUGUUAGAGAUCAAUAAUCAGAGGCUUACAAAAUUUCGUAAUUUUUCAAUUUAGCUCACAUUUGCACUGACAAAUUUUGUAAAAAUUUAUUUUGCUCUCGCAUUGCCCCUUAGAGCAUCUACAAUGGUUUACACCCUUUAGGGUGUAAUCCACAUGCCACAUCAACAUUCCACUAUCUCCUCUUUUUAUUACACUCUUAUCCACAAUGGAUUACACUCACAGAAUAUAAUAGCAUAGGUCCACAUGCCACAUCAGCAUUCCACUAUCUCCUCUUUUAUUAUACUCUCUCCUCUCUUUUAUUUUAACAAUGCACAACUCAUAACCCAUAAAUAAAUAAAUUUAUUAUUUUAAAAAUGGUUAUUUUUAAAAAUAAAUUAUUAACGUGACACCUCAAACGUGAAAAUAUCAUAAUAAUCCAUUAUUCAUUAAUAAUACCCUAUCUACUGAAUUUAACUCCACGACAUACUAUUAAAAUUAAAUAAAAUACAAAUAAUAAUAUAACGAAUAGUAAUUUUUAUUAUUAUUGCCUCCAAAUCGUUCCCAAAUAUGAUCGAAUAAAUUGGACAGAAGUUGAUGAUGUACUUCCCGAUUAUGUAGUUUCGCAUUCCUCUAAAGAUAAUGGUGAAAAUUUUCGACUUGAGUUACAGGGAUCGUUGGUUCUUCAUCAUCAUCAUCCCAGUUUUUUAUUGCAUCUCCCUCAUCCUCGACAAUCAUAUUAUGCAAUAUGAUGCAUGUGUACACUAUAUCUUUCAAUUUAGCUUUAUGCCAAAAUCGAGCUGGGCCACAUACAAUUGCCCAACGAGAUUGGACCACUCCAAAAUCUUGCUCGACGUCUUUGCUUGCAGCCUCCUGUAUUUGCUUAAAUUUGAUCCUCUUUGGAUCUUUAGGAGAUGUAAAACUUUUAACAAAUGUUGUCCAUUCUGGAUAUAUGCCAUCUGCUAGACAAUAUCCUUUGUUGUACUGUGUGCCGUUUACCAUAAAUUGAAUAUCAGGAGCAUAUCCGUGUAACACGUCAUUAAAUAGCGGAGAUUGAUUGGAGUACAUUAAUGUCAUUGUUAGACCCCGCGAUGCCAAAAAAUGCAUGCCAUAUCCACAAAUCUGCUGCUGCAAUUGCUUCUAGCAUUAUUGUGGGAGAUCCUUGAUCACUUCGAGUAAAUUGACCUUUCCAUGCCACAGGACAAUUCUUCCAUUGCCAAUGCAUGCAGUCAAUGCUACCAAGCAUUCCGGAGAAACCAUGGCGCUCAGAAUGCAAUUGAAGUAAAUGUUCAACAUCAUUAGUAUUAGGCCUUCUCAAGUAUUGUGCCCCAUAAAUAUCGAUCACGCACCAACAAAAUUGUGACAAACAUUCGAUUGCAGUGCAUUCACCCAUCCUUGUGUACUCGUCCAAUUGGUCAGCAGGUGUUCCAUAUGUUAACUGAUGGAUAGCUGCUGUGGUUUUUUUGAAGUGGAGAAAGUCCUCUUUUGCCGGCUGCAUUGACCCUCAUUUGAAAAAACUCUGAAUGAUUUGUCAUCGACUCCACAAUUCGAAGGAAAAACAUGUCUGACACCACGCUCUCGAUUGUAAUAUCUUCGACUGUGUGGACGGAUGUUACGACUUGAAGAUGUAUGUUGCGUUUGCCAUUGCUCCAACAUCUUCAUAAUUUGAUCAUCAAUGUCAUCCAUCAUUUCAUCGGCUAAAAACUUUUAAAUUUCUUCUAUAAGAGAGAUAUCAGGAUAUUAAUACAUUUUUUGAGUGUGUUGAGUAUUUGGUGGCAAUGUAUUGCGUCUUGCCAAUACAUAUAUAGUGCUAGUGUUAUAAUAGCUAGUUUUCCAACGGCUCAUUUUUCUAAUGGCUAAUUUUCCAACGGCUAGUCUUCUGACUUAUUAUAAUGAAUAUAUAUAAUAUAUAUUUAUAUAAUAUAUUUUAUUAUAAUAUUAGUAUAAUUAUAUAAUAUAUUUAUAAUUAUUAUAUACAUAAUAAAAUAUAUUAUAUAAAUAUAUAUUACAAUUAUUUAAUUAAGUAUAAUUAUAUUUAUCUAAUAUAAAUUAUAAAUUUAUGAAUAUUAUAUUAAUUUAAAAUGAUGAAAUUUAAAAUUUCGUUAGCUUGGUUUCGAAUCCAUGGUCGGAUUUCAUAGUUUGGUUUCGAAUCCAUGACUGGAUUUCAUAACCUGGUUUCAAAUCCAUGGUUGGAUUUUAUAUGUUGGUUUCGAAUCCACAGCUGGAUUUCAUAACCUGGUUUCGAAUCCAUAGCAGGAUUUCAUAACUUGGUUUCAAAUCCAUGGCCGGAUUUUAUAGCUUGGUUUCGAAUCCAUGGUCGGAUUUCAUAUCUUGCGUCUAGUUACUCCAUAAAUGUACUACAUAAGUGAUUAAUAUGAUACAACAUGGUUUUUUCUGCAUCUUAUUGCACCGUAUAGUAAAAUAAAAUUAAAAAUAGACUAAGAAAUAUUAUAUUUGGCUUUUAGGAUGGAGCACAUUUGCUCAUGAAUUCGAAGCUGUUAAUCGGUCAUACCCGUGGUAUCCUUGAGUAUUUCAUAAUCACUUUGAAAAUUAUAACUUUCUAACUUAUUUGCCAAGUUUUCCAUAGCCUGCAAUUUUUCUUCUUUUUGCUGCAUCAACACUUUUCGGAUUUGAUCAAAUUCCUCACUCACAUUUUCCUCGUUCACAUUUGAUUUUGCCUUUUUCUUUCCCUUCUUUGAUGCUUUUUGACCAGGUGGGUGAACUUCACAUGCUUCAUUAUCAUCGAUGUCAAAAUUUGAAUUCGUAUUGGAUAAAGAAGUGUAUGCCCCGCUUUCAUCAGUUCUUAUCUUUUUUGAAAAACGUUGCAUAAGAGUAUUUACUUUCCACUUCGGAUCAUUUUUCAACAACACCCACACAUGUUCAUGUAAAAAAUGCUUGUUAUUAUUCUGAUGAAAUAGCUCAUGUGCGUGUUGCUUGAUCUAGUCAUCAUUCCACCUGCUAUGAUGUUCGCUGACCAAUUUGUUGUAAUAUUGGUUGAACUCAUUAACCAUCGGACUCAACCAAUGCCAAUGUGAUUUCACUGCUUUAUAUUUUCGUGGUGGUCCAGAUUUUCGAUUCUCAUUGAAGUAGUCGACGACUCGUUUCUAAAAGCUUUUUUCAUUUUGAGAGUUACCCACAACACUGCAAUUUGAAAUUGUGAGCCAAGCACUUGCAAGAAUCUUGUCAUCAUCCACACUCCAUGGAACACAUUUACGGUCAGGUUCUUCCACCGCCUCAUUUGUGAGAUUUAUAUUUUCUACCUCACGUUGUGUUGAAUACGCGGAAAUUGAGAAUCCUAAAUUGACUCCGUUGGUGUUGCAUUAUCUUGUUGACUGGCGAAAUCAAAAUCCUUCCUUAUCUCCGACGGAGUCGUUGAGCCUCCACAACCCAUACCAAGGUUAUAAUACCCCGGUGUAUAGUGAUUUCCCAUAGAAUGAUUAAAAUAAUUAGGUGACGGAUACAUGGGAAUUUGAUAUGGAAAAUGUGGUAGAUUUUGGAAAUUUGAUGGAUGAUUGGAAUUGGGUAAAUUUGGGUAAUUUGGAAUUGGAAAUGGAUAAUUUGGCAAAUUUGGAUAAUUUUGGUGGUUUUGAUUUUGUGAAGCGGAUGACUUUUCUAUAUUUGGACUAUUUAACAUAUUUCUAAAACUACUAAGAUUCUCAUCUAUAAUGAUAAAAUACUGAAAUUUAUAAAAUUAUGUAAAGAGAUUGAAAAUAGUGAAUAAGGGAGUAGGAGAGAUAAUGGACUAGAAGAUUGUGAGGUGAAAUAAAAAAUUACCUUGUGUAUUUAUAGGAAGUAAAAUAAAUUAUCCGUUGCUAAAAUAUAGCCGUUGUAAAAAAAGGCCGUUGUAAAAUGAUUGGUUCCAAAAAUGACCGUUGUAAAAUGUUUCAAAAAAUGACCAAGUAAAAUACUGUCUCAUUUUGGCUAUUUGGAUGUUUGCUGGUAUUGUAAUGCCGUUUGGAUCCCAUAACAUCUUUCAUGACACGCAUCAUCAGUAUUGUGAUGACACGCAUCAUCAGUAUUGUGCGUGUAAUCUCCGUGACAUGGUCUCCCAACCGUGUCAUGGAGCGGUGUAAUGGGGGGCAUUAUACCCCCAUUAUACAUUGCUGUGGAUGCUCUUAAAACAGCUAACGUAUUUGAAAAGUAGAAUGGACCACCUAAAUAACCAAGAUGCCGCCGAUCACAAUAAUUUGCAUAGUGAGUUCUUGCUAGUAGUUAUUUAGUGACUUCCAAGCCUUUGCUCAUUAUAAAUACCGGCCCCCUCCACAUUCCAAACUUACUCAACCACCUUCCUUGUGCUACAUUCUGCUAUCUUCUGCCACCACCACCACCCCCACUACUCCCAGAAAAUGGAAAGCUUUUCUCCCACCUGGGCUGCAUAUGCACUCGCCUGGGUUGCAACGGUGGUUAUCGCCCAUCUCUCGAAGCAUUUCCAUCAGCAAAAACUCAACCUCCCACCGGGUCCAAGGCAAUGGCCUAUAAUUGGAAACUUAAACCUCAUUGGCACCCUUCCUCAUCGUUCACUCCAUCAACUCUCCCUAACAUAUGGUCCCCUAAUGCACCUUCAAUUCGGCUCCUUCCCAGUUGUCGUUGGCUCCUCCGUGGAGAUGGCCAAAGUUUUCCUCAAAACCAUGGACGUCACAUUUGCAGGGAGGCCUAAAACUGCAGCCGGAAAAUAUACCGCUUAUGAUUGCACCAACAUGACUUGGUCCCCUUACGGACCAUACUGGCGCCAGGCACGUAAGAUUUUCCUUACGGAAUUAUUCAGUGCAAAAAGACUCGAAUCAUAUGAACAUAUUCCGGUGGAAGAAAUGAAUUCGCUUCUGCUACAGCUAUUCAAGUCAUCAGGCAAGCCUGUCGUGUUGAAAGAUUAUCUUUCAACAGGAAGUUUGAAUGUGAUUAGCAGGAUGGUCCUGGGGAAAACAUACAUUGAUGAGUCUGAGAACUCAAUUGUCACGCCCGAAGAGUUCAGGCAAAUGAUGGACGAGGUGUUUUUGCUGGCUGGUGUGUUUAACAUUGGUGACUUCAUACCUUGGAUCGAUUUCUUGGAUUUGCAGGGGUAUAUCAAGAGGAUGAAAAUCUUGAGCAAGAAAUUUGAUAGGUUUCUGGAGC
rnacentral:lncRNA from 1 species